CGCUCUUCGUGUCGGGGCCGUGGUUUGUGUUCCCUUUCUUAUAUCAUUUUGGUGUUCUCGAGGUCUAUUUCCUAGGCUCCUACUUGUGGCACCUAUAUGCACUUCCUUACUGUUUUCAUCGUUGUUGUUGAGUGGGAUUUCAUGUAUCCCUGACCUUUCUGUCCUGUUGUCUCUGUCUUUUGCAUUUCGGAGCGGGCUGGUUGGGGUGUCUGGUCGACGGUGUGCAGGUGUUUUCUUCCCCUUUUUAAGUAUUCGUCUUACUAUGUUAAAGUCUCUUAAGUCGUCUGUUAAAACUUCAUAUUCUCUCGUAUCCCUUCUUUCCAUGUCAUCCUGGCCUUCUCUUCUCUGCUCACUUGUAUUCGUUAUUCUUGUUCUUCGUUUUACUUCCUCUAGAAUCGUAUGUACUAUUUUUCUUGUGUAUCCAUGUUUUUUUGCUAUUUCCUUUGUUCUGCUUGGUUCGAUGUUGAAGAGGUGUUCUGGGCUGCAAUGUGUUGGGGCUCGUUGAACAUACGAUCUAGUGGCCGCUUUUUUAUAUGUCCAUUUGUCUCUCGACCACAUAGGUGUGGGGGCUUCUAUGUUGGUGGGCUUUCGAUGUACAGUCGUGCUGAUUGCUGGA
rnacentral:lncRNA from 1 species